CCUACGGGAGGCUGCAGUAGGGAAUAUUGCUCAAUGGGGGAAACCCUGAAGCAGCAACGCCGCGUGGAGGAUGACGGUUUUAGGAUUGUAAACUCCUUUUGUUAGAGAAGAUUAUGACGGUAUCUAUCGAAUAAGCACCGGCUAACUCCGUGCCCGCAGCCGCGGUAAUACGGAGGGUGCCAGCGUUACUCGGAAUCACUGGGCGUAAAGAGUGCGUAGGGGGGGUAAUAAGUCAGUUGUGAAAUCCUGUAGGUUAACUACAGAAGUGCAUUUGAAACUGUUACUCUGGAGUGUGGGAGAGGUAGGUGGAAUUCGUGGUGUAGGGGUAAAAUCCGUAGAGAUCAAGAGGAAUACUGAUUGCGAAGGCGACCUGCUGGAACAUUACUGACGCUGAUGCACGAAGGCGUGGGGAGCAAACAGGAUUAGAUACCCGGGUAGUC
rnacentral:rRNA from 1 species